AAUAACAUCUCUUAGCAACAGUAUCGAAAAGAGUUUUCUUGUCGUAAGAGUCUUAUUACUGUAAAUGUGAAUGAAUUUGUCUAGUGAAGUGACGUUGUGCGAGAUUACUGGUCUCUGUCUGAUAUAUAGGCUGUAGAAAUAAGAACUAGACAGUUAUGUUAUUAGCAGCAGUGGCCUGAAGCCUGCUAAUCAGAUUUUUGUAUUCGCUUGCAAGCAGACAGAUCCAGUCUUUGAAACAAAUAGAUAUCUAGCUGCGUAAAGGCUGUCAGCGACGUGUUUCGCAAUGUCACAGUGAUUCAGCGAAAUUCAGUCAGCUCUGUCAGUCCGAAAGCUACCUUGACUUCCAUGAGUUUCAAUUCUGAAACAGUUUCCCCUUUCGUUAGAUAAUUAUUUUUUGGCUGUAAAACUAGGCUACUCUCCUUAUGGUCAAACGAAAACAUCAAAUAGGCUGUCCUUAUGUCUAGCCAUACAGUUACCCACUUUAACCCACGAGCGUGCCUAAACGAUGUACCAGAAGCGUGAUUGUUUAUUUCAUCCACGGCAUUGUUGACAAAAUAAUGAUGACAAUUUCUUGGCUGUGAUCUGUGCACUGCGAGCAGCAAGUUGCAACUGCUGAUCUGGCGAUCCAUCACACCUGGGCAGAUCUGGCACCUCUGUCCUGUUUGGACUGGCCCUCUGGCUCAUCCCUCAUCAUGCAGCCCAGGGGGGCUGUGUGCUGAAGAUUGUUUAGGAAACAUCCAAGAGAUUGUGCCACAGUACCAAGAACCACCUCCUUGUUUGCCUUUUGCACAUGUAAGAUAACUUGAAUCAUGGAUUAUGAGAAUCGCUACACCCCUAAUUAUGAGGUGAUUUUUUUAUUUUUUAGAUAAAAUGAAACUUACAUAGAUCAGGUGUGUCAGGCAGUCCUCCACAGUUAUGAGAUUUCAGGAACGUAUGGUGAUGCCGCAGUAAAUAUGUUCCGGACUAUACAAACCUGACAGGAGUCAAAGGUGCUACAGUAUAACCCAUGUUAUGUAAUCUAGUGGGAGUAUUAGAAAAACUCCACUUAAAAAAAGUAAGAAAGCAGUAACUAAAUCAAUGAUGUGUGAAUAUCAGACACAAUAAAUUUGAUUAAUAUCUGGAAUAUCCAGUGUUUCAAUACAAUAAUUGCUUAGAUAUGCUAGGAAAAACACAAACUCAGGUGACUUUGAAUAGAGAAAGCCAUUCAGUUCCAUAUAGGGAAUGUAUUUGGAUCACUUCUGACCUGGCUUGUGCAUACUUGGAGUAGUAACAGGAAACAAUCUAAUAAGUAAAAAAGUAGAAAUAAAAACCAUAAUUUAUAAACAUUGAAAACAAUUUUUUUGAAGAACAUCUAGAAUAUUAAAUAAAGAAUUGGUUGAUUACAAAGACUCAAAGAAACACUUGGCCGGGUCAUUUUUGACCCAGUUUGUGCAUUCUAGGUUAAAUGAAAUCCUUGCUCCAUUGAAAUAUUUUGCAGAAUAAUCUUUCUUGUUGUCAGGACAUUUUUACAUAUCACAGUCUCCACAAAAUGAGGUUGUGCUUCCCUGUACCAUAUAGAUGCCAUCCCUUCAAAGUUUUUUUUUUUUUAUAACUGCCUCAUCACAAAAGAACAGUAGUUGCAGAGCACUUUAUCCAUCAAUGAAAUUUUAUUGUGGUUAUCAGUUUAUUAGCCAUUCGUUUUAAUCAAUCUUAUAUUUUACAAUUUGCGUUAAGACAUUAAUGAUCAUAAGUGUUACUUUAAUAUACUUUUCUCAGAUUUUAAAACUCACAAGAAUGCAUACUUUUUAAAAACACCCUUAAAGACAAAAUCAUAGUUCAUAAAACAUGGCUGAUGUGUUACUGUGCCUUUACAAAUUACAUACUGUUGUGAUAUUGGUUUCAAUACAGAAGUUUCCAGAUGAUUUUUCAUGAACUGCGUUCAACAUGAAACUAGUAACAAUAAGAAUAGUGCAAUUAGAAUGUUCCAUCGGUUUCGAUACAUGUUUACCAAAAUCAAUAUAGCAAAAUGAGAGCAAGAAAUACAUUGAACUGUGUACAUGUAAGGCACGUUUCAUCAACAAAAA